GGGCGUGGUGUGGAGGGUCGAGUUCUUUGUCGUCCCACAGUCACCCCCAGGACCACCUUGCGAAGCCGAAAAUACACAUCUGCAUUUUACCGACAAGGAACGCCACUGAGAAAGCUGCAGACAUUUGCCUGGGGUCACGCUUACAGUGGGCAGAUGAACUGGAUGUAAAUACAGGAGCGGCAGAGAGGACAGGCAUGGAAAGGAGGCCUGUCUCCCACGGAGAACUCCUCUAGUGCCAGCAGACACGCAUGGUGGAACACAUGUGAGCAGGACAGGAGGGCCAUCUCUCUGGAACGCCUGCCUGCACCCACGCGCUGACCGCCAGCAGCGGAGAGAGGGGCCAGGCAGAUGGAGCACUCGUGGGUCUCCCGGCGCAGAGCCUGCGGCACACAGGACGGGAAGAGGCCACGCGGAACACUUCGAUUUAUGGCCAAGCACUGAUCGAUUUCUGCAAAGAGCUCUUCAAUGUUGGUGUUGUAUGAGCACAGGAUGCGGUGGCUGAUUUCUGUGAACUGAGGAGGAGGCGGGGGCGGGUAAGCUCACACCUGAGCUCGGUGGAGGUUGCAGGGAAGCGCUCUCGAGCCUGACCAUCUAUUUUGGUAACCUUCCUCGUCUCUGUCUUCGAAUAAUACUUUUUAGGGAAAUAGAUAUAUGUCUAUUUUACUUAACUAUAAAUCCAGAUAAUCUGGACAGAUGACCACAAGAACCCCUAUCUGAUGGAGUCCAGAACACACUACCCCAAAAUACGGCACCUUGGCAUACUGAAUAUUUUAAGGAAAAAACAUUCCUUCCCAAAGGAAUUUGAGAAAUGACAGCUGCAGGAGGGACCGUCUGACCUCUCCCCACCCCUAAAGUGGGUCACAGGACCCUCCUGUGAGAGGCACCCUCGUCUCCAAAGACGGAGGGAGCCGGGAGGAGACAGCACACAGGCCUUGCCGUGGUUCCCACCGACCACCCUCAGCUCACCCCUUGUCCUGUCAUGCUUCCCCACGACCUCUGUGUCCUCAUCCAACCUAGCAUAGAAAGCGCUCAGGCGUUACUGUCUCUUCGGGUCUCCGCUGCCCCUUCGGGUCGCCGCUGCCUCUUCGGGUCUGCACUAUCUCUUCCGGUCUGCGCUGCCUUAGGAAGGCUUCCAUACCACAUGGGACUUACUAAGUAAAUCCGUGUAAUUUUCUCGUUAAGCUUAACUUACAGGGCUCCAGCUGAAGAAUUUAGGAGGGUAGGGGAAAAGGGUAUAUUGUUUCCCUCCCCUGCUGUUUUCUUGGUUGUGAGCUUUGACCAUUAGCAGGAACACAUUUGAAAUUAAAAGUUGAGAGAAAAGUUCGAAUUUCGCAGGAUCAGCUCUGUCCCAUAGAAACAUACUGUGAGCUACGUAUGUAAUUUUAAAAUUUCUGGCAGUCACAUUAAGUUUUUUAAAAGGUGAAAUUAAUUUUAAUAUUGUAUCUGACCCAACAGAUCCAAAAUAUUAUCACUUCAACGUUUAUUAAUUGAAUACAGUACUUUGUUUUUUUUGGUAUUUUUGUUUGGUUUGGUGGAGACAGCAUCUCGCUCUGUCACCCAAACUGGAGUGCUUGGGGCCAUCAAUGCUCACUCAGCCUCGGCCUCCCGGGCUCAAGCCAUCCUACACUAGAAAGGUCUGAGUCAUUACAGAGUGGCCACCAGUGUCAUCUGAGGCACGGGUAGGUGGCUCAUUCAGGGCCACACCAGCGGCUCCUUUUUAGUACAUGUGAAGAGUGUAAAGCAAAGGAGAAUAAGGUGUGUAAAAGGUUGUGCCAAUGGUGACUGUCAGCCACACUUCCUGCCCUCUUGCUUGUCCUUUCAAGUACAGAGCUGUGGCUCACCCAGAGAUGACAUUUCCCAUUCCCCCAUGCCCAGGUGGGGCCACGUGAAGUAGUUCUUCCAGAUGGACGUGGCUCAUGUCUCUUCUGGGUGUUCUCCAGGCCCGGGGGGUGGCAGAUAAAGGGCAGAGGGAGACAGUUCCCGAGCCCCACAGGCUGGCAUGUUGCCUGCAAGCCAGGACACCUGAACUGUCCUAUGAGACCGAAGCUCUGGCUUUCAGUCACUGAAAUUCGGGGGGUUAUUUGUCCAGCAGUGAGAAGUGCCGAUUCAGCAGUUACAUCUGCUUCAUGGAAUCCGGCUUGAAGCACAAAGAAGGAUGAAAUGAACAAGUCCCGUGGAGAUCUCACACAUUUAGAUAUGUGAUGGGGAAAAUGCAUUUUGGAUGGUCCAUGACUGUCCAGGUUUCAAAUAUUCUAGUCUACUGGAGUCCUCACGUUCACUUUUUCUUUUUUUUUUUUUUUUAUUAAUGUGGAGCAACCUGGCAGAACGUAGUGUGUAUUUAAAUCACCAGACUUCUGAAGGUGCCUUUGAGGACAUGGAGUUCUCUUCCAAUUCUCUCCCUUCUGCAAAAAGAUCGUGAGACAGCGCAGGGUCGAGUGCUGUGGAGACUAUGAGCUGCCUUUCUCCCUGG
rnacentral:lncRNA from 1 species